AUGAAGCUGAAUGUCUCCUUCCCAGCCUCUGGCUGCCAGAAUCUCUUUGAAGUGGAUGAGGAUUGCAAAUGUCAUACUUUUUCUGAGAAGCUAUAGUCACAGAUGUUGAUGCUGAUGCUCUAGGUGAAGAAUAGAAGGGUUAUGUGGUCGGAAUCAGUGGUGGGGACAACAGACGAGGCUUCCUCAUGAAGCAGGGUAUUUUGACCCAAGACUGUGUCUGCCUGCUACUGAGUAAGGGGUAUUCCUCUCCUCCAAGGAGAACUGAAGAAAGAAUGCACAAAUCUGUUCAAGGUUGUAUUGUGGAUGCCAAUCUGAGUAUUCUCAACUCAGUUAUUGUUAGAGAGAGAAGGCUAAUCCUGAACUGCCUGAUAAUAUACUGCCUCAUCCCCCGGGACCCAAAAGAGCUAGCAGAAUCCAAAAACUUCAAUUUCUCUAAAAAGAUGAUGUCCACCAAUAUGUUAUAAGAAAGCUCUUUGUUAUAACAAAGAUAAGACACACAGGGCCAAAGCACCCAAGACUCAGUGUGUUGUUACUCCUCAUGUCCCGCAACACAAACACCUGGCUUAUUGCUCUGAAGAAACAACCUACUAAAAAAAAUAAGGAAGAGGCCACAGAAUAUACUAAACUUUUGGACAAGAGAAUAAAGGAAGCCAAAGAAAAACACCAGGAACAAAUUGCCAAGAGACACAGACUGUCCUCUCUGAGAGCUUCUGAGUCCAGCCAAAAAUAA
rnacentral:lncRNA from 1 species